AAAGAAAAGUGACUUUUCUUUUAGGCUGAGUUUUAUCAAACAUGUUUCUGUCAGUUCAGAUAAAGAGUUCUGGAAACUGCUUCCAUCAGUCCAGUCACAUCACUGUUGGAGCUUAGUGUGUGUUUAACACAACUAGCGGCCGUUUGCUCCGUCCGUAACCACGGCAACAUGAGGACGUCUCAAAGCAUUUACACUGGCUAGAGUUUGAUUUAGUUAGUGAAGGCUAAAAUCAGGAUCAUGAUACUGGAAACAAGGACGUCGUCCUUCUUCCGGGACAUCCAGCUGUUCUGUCAUCAAACGUGGCACAAAGCAGAAGCUGCUGAACGAGGGCAUGAACUGAACGGAUCUGAAUUCCAGAAAUCUGGGACCAACGGAGUUCCUGAACCAAUAAGAGACGCCUUUGGAGGGAAGCUGUCAGCUGAUGUCAGCCUAGAGUUUCUGACGGCAUGUGGCAACAGACUGAUUUCAGCCAAACUGCAGCUGGACAGCAGCUGGAUGCAGAUCUGAUACACAAAGUCUAGAAAUGGAAAGUUGUGUCCAUCAGACCAACACAGCGGAUUCUGGGAUGUUCUGCUCUCUUGGUGAAACAAGCUAAACAUUGUCAGUCAGCACUAAUCUUUGUAACGUCAGCUCUUCAUGAACUUUCUUUAAACUUUGUGUCUAUGAACAAACUGAAGACGUGUUAAAUUUCUAGCGAGGAGUAAAUGUGGGGCUUUGCUCUGGAAUUUGACUGAGAUCUAAUAAUGAGGGAAUCUGCUGCUCUACAGAGAUGCCGAUCACCAAAGUCUGGACAACACAGCUUUUAAAGAAACCAACUGCUGACUUUUCACAUACUUUUCAGUUUAACGUGUAAAUGUCGUCUUUUUGUGCAUUUUUACUGAAUUUUAUUUGAGUUUUUUUCUUUUUAAACCAAUAAAAACCUCUUCAAUCUGUCUGUCUCUGUCUUAGAUUCAGAGAUGGACUGAAAACACUUGGUGUGCUGGACUAAAUCCAAGCUCAGCUCUUCUGUGCUGGUCUCCUGCAGCCUCUCAGCUGAUGUGGCUGACAGUCUUUUCAUUAUCCGCCAUCUCCAG